rnacentral:lncRNA from 1 species
GUCUUUUUGCUAUUUCUUGGGCCGCCCCUGCGGCAUAUAGAGGUUCCCAGGCUAGGGGUCGAAUUGGAGCCAUAGCCACCGGCCUACACCAGAGCCACAGCAACGCGGGAUCCGAGCCGAGUCUGUAACCUAUACCACAGCUCACGGCAACGCCGGAUCGUCAACCCACUGAGCAAGGGCAGGGAUCGAACCCGCAACCUCAUGGUUCCUAGUCGGAUUCGUUAACCACUGCGCCACAAUGGGAACUCCCAAAUUUCUUUUUUAUUUCUAUUCUUCUUUAUUAAAUGGACCAGUACACUCUCAAGUUCUUUAUUAUUGCAACAGACCAAUAUGUAAAUAUAAAUUUUUAAAAAAUACAUUAAUGCAAUUAAUAUUAUUAAUCCAUUAGUCUUCCAUUUUUGGCUGUAAUUAUUUUUAAUUAAAAACUUGUUUUGCUGGCUUCCUUGUGCAUACAAAGCUUAAGUUUUAAAAAGUUGUUUUUUGGGCAUUCCUCGUGGCUCAACGGAAACAAAUCUGACCAGUAACAAUGAAAUUGCAGGUUUAUUAUGGAAAAUAAUUUUAUCUUAUAAGGAGUAUUUUUUAUUUAUUUUUAUUUUUAAAUUUUUUUUAUUUUUAUUUUUUGUCUUUUUGCUAUUUCUUGGGCCGCUCCCACGGCAUAUGGAGUUUCCCAGGCUAGGGAUCUAAUCAGAGCUGUAGCUGCCAGCCUAUGCCAGAGCCACAGCAACUUGGGAUCCUAGCCGCGUCUGCAACCUACACCACAGCUCACGGCAAUGCCGGAUCCUUAACCCACUGAGCAAGGGCAGGGAUCAAACCCGCAACCUCAUGGUUCCUAGUCGGAUUCGUUAACCACUGCGCCACGACGGGAACUCCAGGAGUAUUUUUUAAAGAGUCUUCUACCCCCGCCCCCAGGGGGUUCGGUGUGUUAGGAGUGCUCCUUCAGGUAUGGAAUACUCAGGUGUAUCCAGACUGGGGAAGAGGGUCUGGGAGGCAGAAGGGAGAGGGACAAACAGGAAGGGCCUGAGGACCGCGGCAAGGAGUCUGGAGUCUUCUUUUCUGGGGAGGGUCGGGGUGGGGGGGGGUAGGGGUCACUGUUCCUACGGCAGGCAGAAAUUCCCAGGUCAGAUAUCGAAUCCACGUCACAGCAACAACAAACAACGCUGAAUUCUCCACCUGAUAGGCCACCAGGGAACUUCCCGGACUCUUCUGUCAACAGCACCUGGGAGGCUCUGGAGGGCUGGCCAGGCA